rnacentral:rRNA from 1 species
CGGUUGAUCCUGCCGGACCUGACUGCUAUUGGAAUGGGAUUAAGCCAUGCGAGUUUUAUGUCCCCAGACUGCUGGAGGCAUAGCGAACGGCUCAGUAACACGUGGCCAACCUACCCUUAAGCCAUAGAUAACCCCGGGAAACUGGGACUAAUCUAUGAUAAGUCCAGAACUCUGGAAUUGAGUCUAGACUCAAAGAUAAUGUAAGCAUGUUUUACACUAUUGCUUGAGGAUGGGGCUACGGCCGAUCAGGCAGUUGGUGGGGUAAUGGCCCACCAAACCUUUGACCGGUACGGGCUUUGAGAGAAGGAGCCCGGAGAUGGACACUGAGAUAAGGGUCCAGGCCCUAUGGGGCGCAGCAGGCGCGAAACCUUCACAAUGAGCGAAAGCUUGAUGAGGCUAUUUCAAGUGCCAUCCGCUAAGGAUGGCUUUUCCUAAGUCUAAACAGCUUGGGGAAUAAGGGGAGGGCAAGCCUGGUGUCAGCCGCCGCGGUAAUACCAGCUCCCCGAGUGGUCGGGACGGUUAUUUGGCCUAAAGCAUCCGUAGCCGGUCCUGUUAGUCUUCCGUUAAAUCUAACGGCCCAACCGUUAGGCUGCGAAAGAUACCGCAGGACUAGGGGACGGGAGAGGUGGACGGUACUCCAGGGGUAGGGGUAAAAUCCUCUGAUCCUUGGAANGACCACCAGCGGCGAANGCGGUUCACCAGAACGUGCCCGACGGUGAGGGAUGAAAGCUGGGGGGGCGAACCGGAUUANAUACCCGGGUAGUCCCAGCCGUAAACNAUGCGAGC